CAAAGAGAAAAGCUGUGUUGUUGACUGCCUACAAGCUCUCAGUGCCCUGGGUAGCAUUAAGCUUUAACUUUGCUUUUGGUCCAACAACUCAGUGUUCAUCGGCCAAACUGAAAACACACAUCUAAUUCAGCAAAGCCACAAAAAGAAGAACAAGUGAAGCGAAUGACGUAUGAGAGUUUUCUUCAUCCGGCAGAAAAAUACAAGAGAGAAAGAGAGAGGCAGGAAAGACGUUUGAAUAGAGCUGAACCCAUGAGCGCGGACAAAGGAAUUCAGUCUGUCAGUAAAUUGGUAAUGUUAGGAGGCCAAAUUGAAGUGUUGAUUAGGGACCGAUCCUACAGCUUCCUGAACAAAGAGGGAAGGAGACAAAGAUUGGGGAUGACUAUCUUGCUCUCAGUCAUUAAGGGGACGAUGGUCCAUCACACAGACUCACCGUGAAAUCCAGCAGAUGGCUCCAUAAAUGGGAAGUGGCUGAGGUGAGGAGCUUGCUUUCAACAGCCAAAGUACCUGGCACAAGAACUGCUCUGUAAGAUCAGGAGAAAUUGGUUUGAGAGAAGCGUCAACAGAGACCAGAGAAAAUGAGAAAACUUCACCUCCAGGUCAGCUCCUGUACCUCUAACAAGUAUUAUAAUGAACUCAAAACAGAGGUCAACCAAACGUCCAUCACCAACACUUAAAUGUUCAGGAGCAAACAAAUUCCUGUCUGAUUUUAAUACUACACAAAGCCAUAACGAGUAACUUGAAUGGAAGAAAUGGCAUUGAAAAAACAGGCCACAGCAGAGGAGCAGUUAAACUGGAAACUGGUGUAAUCACUUCCUUGAAUAUUGCAAAACAUGUGGAUUUUCUGUCUAACUUUUCGCCCUGUUUGCUGCCAAAGAAAGUAUGUAAAAUGUACAAUCUCUGACUUUACAGAGUUGCAUAACGACUGAAAGUCUUGCCACAAUCUGGGACACGUGGCCCAGAUUGUGUCCUGACAUGUCCUGAUGAGAGUACCACCGUUAGUUUUCAAGUAUCAACAGCCACCUAACCAUAAAUCUAAAGACUAUUGUAUUGACAGAUAUCAUGAAAUAUCAGCAUUGAGCACUCUACAUUAGUACUCAACCAUGCUCAUAAUGUGUUGCUAAGUGUGAUGUAUGAUACUUACGAUCCAAGCCGUUGAUGUACUUCAUGGCUAUCUCACAAUGUCCCCACACAGCGCUGACGACGGGAUACAACUUCUUGCCUUUCAGUCCUCUAAAUGCAACUCCUAGAUACUGUCCAUCCACCAUGAAGCUCAGCGUCCCUUCGUCCAUGUCCAGGAUCACGAGCAGAGAGUCCGGCAGGGUGAAUGACUCCUCCGGCUCCAGGAAACAAGGGUAAGAGGGCAGCGAGCUGUGAGCCCUGUUCUUACUGUCGUGGUAGAGCCUGUUGCGUCCCAGAUCCCAGCCCCAGGAUUCACAGUCUGACCCCACCAGCGCCGUGUAGCCAACAGAAUGUAAAGCAGCUUCUGAGGUCGCCACCCCGACGACGGCGUGUGUGCCACGCUGCCUGGAGGGCCAGUGGAUCCUCCACACGUGGAGCCCCCUCGUGUAUCCGACCCGCCCCCGGAUGCAGUCUGUGCUCUGAGCAACCGGGUGGCGGUGAAACGUCAGUUUAUCAUCGUCUUUUAUGAAGAUGUUGAGCGAACGAUCGUCGGAGUUCCACGCGUGACGGAGCUGGGUCUCCAGUCCAGCACACGGCAUGUCCAGUAGGAGAUCCAACCUGGGAGGUUUGGCGAAAUCAGGGCCCCUCAGUUCUGGGUGCUGCCGGUGUUGAGCCGAAGGUCUGUAGGAUGGGGAGCCACCGCUUUCCCCGCGACUAUCUACCGAUUUGAUGCCACCAGAGAUCUUCUGCCCCAUGACUGCGAUGGAAAGGUUGACAGAAGGAGGGGAUGGAGGGGAGAGGGUGGUGUUUGUGCAGGUGGGUGCUGCGCUGCGUAGAGCUCGACGUUACCUCAUCAAUGCGGUGGAGCUACAGGGAGAGUUCCUAACUGGAGAGUUGAAGGACGAGAUGAAGGACGAGGAGUUGAUGAAUGAAAGAUGUGUGCAAUCUGGUUUUUUAUGCGACAAAUGUCUUCAGAAAGACAAAGCUGCUGGAACUCCUGUUGAGAGAAGAGAGAGAACUAUUAAAAAAUAAACCGCUAUUGUGGACCAUUGCUAGUUUUAGCAUACUCCAAGCAAUGAGCCAGAAACAGAACAAGGACUAAAAAGAGAGACGAUGAUGAAAAGGGAAAGUCAAGAAGAGUAACUGAAAGAGAACUUGCAAGUGUCGGCAGAACUCUUUGUUCCACAGAUUUUGUGUGUCUUUGUUUUGAUAGGGAUAAACAAUGAACAGGAUGAACAAGAAUGUACACACACUGGCACAUUGACACACACAUUUCCUCUGACUCAUCCUGCAUCCUCCUCACAAAGUCAUACCAAUAAAUGCACACACACAUUCCCCAGUUGUGCAACAUUACCCACAUUUAAACCUGGCACGCUGUCAUUUAGGUAACCUGAUGACAUUUUAAGUAUUGCCUGAGUCAGAAAUAUCAGCACAACAGAAGGAAAACAAAAGCACCAGUUCAUAAUUUAUCUCCAUUCCUCAGUGGCACAAAGUUGAAAAAGUUACUCUUCCCUCACACUUAAUAUAGUAAAUGAUAUACACAUGUAAGCAGUGGCAGGAUGUUUAUGUUUUGUAAUCUAUAACCCAAAUCUUAGUGAGCAAUACCCACUGACAAUAUUGUGGUUUCUUUUUUCGAAUGUUAUUUCCAUUUUUAUGUAAUUUUCAGUGUAAAGUGUUAGUUUCCAGUGUGGGACAGUUUUAGUUUAGUUUUUAUUAACUUUCAGUUUCAUUUUGGGUAUAGAUGACAUGAAAAAAACCUGUUAAUUAACUUUAAAAGAAAGAUGUAUUGAUUCUAUUGAUAUUUAUUGUUAUCUUGUAUCUCUAGUUUACAUAUGCGUAAAGAACAUUUAAUAUGAAAUAGUUGUUUUUUAUGAGUUGAAAAAUAAAGCUAUAUUUACACAGUCAAA